rnacentral:lncRNA from 1 species
UUUUGAUUCGCUUAUUUUUUUAAAGUAUUCCAGAGUUGUCGGGAGUAUUAGUAUGUGAUGAUUUAAAUCCAAAAUAUGGUGAGUUUGUACUGUUUUGAGAAGGGGGAGUGGAGUAUUUUUUUUGGAUUUUAUUUGACUUUGAAUGAGGGAUUAGGUAGUCAUGAGUAUGAGUUUUCUCGGUCUUUAUAUUUUCUGUUUUCAACGGUAAAAUUUCUGUUUUUGAUGUUAAGUUCGAAGGAUGACGAUGUUGAAUGAUAUUACGAAUGUCUAUAAAAUGACAUGAGAAACACGAUAUGACAUGAUAUGACAUGACAUGUCACGAAUCUCAUGAUGAGAUAAACAAUAUGACAAGAAUUAGGCUACAAAUAGUCGUUAAAUAGUUUGUUUGAUUGUAGUUAUUGAUGCUUUUAUGGUUGUUUAUAGGUGAUAAGAAUGAAUAUUGGUAUAUUAUUCCUUAUGUGGAAUCAUAGGUACAGAUUUCCAUACUGAGUCAGUUGAGACUCACCCAUUUUGCUUUGCUAUGUUUUGUCGUGUUAUAAAAUUUAUAGGAUGGGGACGUUGAUGAAGACACGUUGCAUGGAUACAGAAGGGUGGAGCAUAGUUAGCAUCAUGAGUUAGUGGUGCUUCAUUCCGAUGAAUAUUAUGAACACCGUUGGUGCAUGUUUAUUAUUUACAACAAUGUUCUAGAGUCUUACUAGUAAAUGAUGGUGUUCUAGACUUUAUUCACAAAUUUUGAACUUUUAUUUUAUUGACAUAUUAUUAUGUUGAUUCUCGACAUUAGGG